rnacentral:rRNA from 1 species
GACGAACGCUGGCGGCGUGCUUAACACAUGCGAGUCGAACGGAAAGGCCCUGCUUUUGUGGGGUGCUCGAGUGGCGAACGGGUGAGUAACACGUGAGUAACCUGCCCUUGACUUUGGGAUAACUUCAGGAAACUGGGGCUAAUACCGGAUAGGAGCUCCUGCUGCAUGGUGGGGGUUGGAAAGUUUCGGCGGUUGGGGAUGGACUCGCGGCUUAUCAGCUUGUUGGUGGGGUAGUGGCUUACCAAGGCUUUGAUGGGUAGCCGGCCUGAGAGGGUGACCGGCCACAUUGGGACUGAGAUACGGCCCAGACUCCUACGGGAGGCAGCAGUGGGGAAUAUUGCACAAUGGGCGGAAGCCUGAUGCAGCAACGCCGCGUGCGGGAUGACGGCCUUCGGGUUGUAAACCGCUUUCGCCUGUGACGAAGCGUGAGUGACGGUAAUGGGUAAAGAAGCACCGGCUAACUACGUG